GCAAUUGAAUAUACACGAUUUAUCGACACCUUCAGUUGGUAUAAAUUUCAUUCAAGAUCAUAGGCAUUUCACUUGCUGUUUAACUAUGCCACACUUAAACCAAAUUGAGAGGAACCAAGCCAUCGGACGUCUGCAAGCUGGAGAGUCUGUCCGAGACAUUGCCCGUCACUUUAAUGUCAACAUCACCACCAUUUACCGUCUCCAGCGUCGAUACAACACCACACAGAGCACCGAUGACCUUCCCCGAAGCGGACAGACUCUCUAGAUAUUCAAGUCAACGUUUGAAAAUGUAUAUGUGUGAUACAUUGCUGACAAUGUCCACAAGACUGUGUCCACAAAAGAAUUCGAAAAUUUCCAUCCCCGAAAUCUGGAUGACUUCAAUGCCAAGAAGCGGUAUAAAAUCCUCUGGAGAAGGACCCCAGAGGAAAGCGGCUCUUAUUAUUAUGGGCAAAUUUUAAAAUUGGCAGGGAUCCUGAAACAGUCUCUCCCCCAGUCUGGAAAAACAGGUCUGGAAGGACCUGACGUGAUCACCCCAGAGCUGGACGAAGAAGGAAAAAUCAAACUUGGUCCAGGAGUUUCCCUGAACAAGGAGAAAUGGCAGAGGGUGCAGGAGGCAAAAUCAAACUCCCAAUUCUGCAAGUCGUUGGCAGUUUGCAUUUGGGGCACAGAGGGACUGAGGGAGAGAAGAGUCACAGGGGCCAAAUCAAACGCGGUCAAAGACUCAGUCCCCAAGCGUCCCCUGACCCCAGAAAAAGUGGCUGUCAUAAGAGAUAAGUACCUUAUAACCCAUUAUACAACAGUUAGUUCCAACUGAGUAAUUUAACUGGAUGAGAGGCAUUCUGUGAGUGCUGAUAUACAGUACAACAUCACUGGGACUUUUUACAGACAUAUCACUCCAGUGUACAGUCAUCCUAUUAACUGUUAAUUAGCAUUACAGGGAACCCCGACACGCAGCAGAGGGAAUUACAAUCACCGGCUCAAAAUACAUGAUUUGAACUCAUUUUAUUGAUUAAAAAACUGCAUGCGGGGACCCGUGGCCAUAGUGUCAUAUUGUCUCGGCUUGCUGCGGCGCUGUGUACGGAAGCCUGUGAGGGCGCGUAGAGAAAUGGAAGGAACAUCAAUAAAAAUUGAUUUUUAAAAAUUAUGAAUGAAUUGAGAAUUGUAAAGGAUAAUAAUCCCGACUCUUAUAUAAAUGGAUUUUUUUUCUCCCACCCCUACCUCUUUUUUCUUUUAAAUUGAUUUCUCACAGCAGCUUUGUCGUGGUUUGCUAAGUCAAAUACUUUGUCUUUGGUGACAGACUGCCUGAGGGACCGGCUUCAGAAGAUGGGCUAUCCAAAGGAGGCCAUUGAACAGCAGCUGGCCCUAGUUAGACGAACCACAUCAGAAAAGAUUAGUGAUAUUAGGAAGAGGAGCCCUCAGACAGAGGGAAAGCAGUAAACUGCUGCUGUCGACGCCACAUACUUCUUUGCCAAAGUUGUUGGUUGGUUUAAAAAAAUCAAUAAAAAUGACAAACUGCAA